GAUUCCAGCGAGAAGGAUUCUGGGAGGUCUUAGUCAUCUCCCGGGUUCAGCCGUGGCCUCUGAGCUUCCCCACAAAGCCACGUUGCCAUCGGGAGGCAAGUCCCAAAUGCUGCUGACAGGCGGUUUAGAACUAGAGCUGGCGCUCAGCCAUGAUCUCACGCCCUGCACAACCACACGUGAUCUCAGCUCCAGUUUCCUGAUCUCUGUGGAUGCUCCUGGAUUCUCAGACACUCAACCAUUUGGGGACCAGGGGAGGAAGCAGAGCUGGGAGCUUCCAGGCCCUCAGGCAAUGUUUAAAGAGAGCACCCCACAGUGCCCUGGACAAGUAGCUGAAAAGUUAUUUGCAAGGCUGAAUUAAACCCAGUGCAGCCAUUCUUCAGGGGAGCCAUCCAGCUACAUUCUCAGACUCAAGGCAGAUUGAGUCACUUUCCUCCGCUGUGUUAAUCUGUACUGUGAUUUUAAAAGAGACUCUCCUCUUCAGUCGGUGGAUGGACUUCUCCUGCUUUGCAGGAAGACA